UCUCCGCGGUUAAUUUUCGUCCUAUCUAUUAUGGUUUUUUUAGUCCCUCCUCCCACCUUGAAUGGUUGACGAAAGAAAAUGGACGAACCGGAGUGAGGCCCUUUCCACGAACCAGGGAGCGAGGCCCCCUCGCACAAAAAAAAUUGACGAUCUAUUCCUAUUACGACGGGAACCACACUCCGGCCGCCAUCGAUCCCUUCGCCGCAGUCGCCGAGGUCGACGGAAACCACGCCCCAGCCGGUAUCGAUCCCUUUGCCGCCACCGAGAUCCUGGAGGAGCCGCCGCCAUCGAUCCCGAGAUACUGGAGGAGCCGCUGCCGCCGCGGUCGCCUUCAUUGUGGACCUCCAGGACACCAUCGGGACACCGCUGGUCCGCUGUCAGGGCACACACCUAUGGCGCUCCCAUACCUGCAGUCCUGCACACGGACAUAGAGCUCACCACUGUCUGCGACGCCACGGAAGCAGCGGCCGAUCAUCGACGCCGGCCGUACGCAUGUCAGCCGCAGUGGACGGCCCCUUCUACGCGUCGUCGUACUUGGAGGGCAUUGCUUCGUCUUCAUGCAGCAUGUGCAGAUCGAACUUGUCGAGGAUGGUGCUCGAGCUAGAUUUGUUCUGGAAGACGAUCUCAUCAUCUAUCUACGAGCAAUUCGACACAAGAAAACAGGCACGCCAAGUGGCUGUGAAUGGCCAAGAACAACCGCAAUCCGUCACGGUCGUGUGGCAAGAUACAGAGGGAAGGGAAGCAGGAUUGGGAUGUGAGGUAGAGAUACAGCCAGCAAAAGGGGCGAGGAACAGAGACGUAAGUGAGAUUCAAAGUUUAGGUCGUGGCCGUUUCUUUCCUCUGGUUAAUUAGCCUACCGAGUGUUCAUGUCCGGCUCAUAUUUUUGCAUCUAAUUGCACUACAAUUUUCGCAUCUAGAAAUGCCUUGUCAUUGUUGUGCCCUAUGUAUUAUUUUUGUUUGUCGUAAUCAUAUUUGUACAUUGUUCUAGAAAAGUGAUUAUGUACUUGUAGAGGAAAUCUGAAUGUGGCUGUGAAUUAUGUCCAAAUUGCAGAACAGGUGAGCCGAACAUUUAUUUAUUACUCAAAUCAAAAGCUGGGUUCUUGAUCGGAGGCUCCAUAACUAUCUAUGGUGUUGAACUCGAUUUACUGAAUUUCUCCCAGGCCCAGACAUGAUCGCUGAUAGAGAAGCAGAAGAGGCAAUGAUGUUAACCAUACUGAAGAGCUUUCCUACUCAUGCUGUCUGAGCGUGUACUCCCAAUCCCAAUAUGCAGUUCACUUUCAACGCACCUGCAUGAUAAAUAAUGCUACCUUUACUGUCUUCAUGCAGUUUCGGAGAGGAGAACAGUUGGAUUUGUGCGGAGAACUCUGCUAACUAUGUUUGGUUCUUGGACCCCAUAGAUGGAACAGAGAGCUUCAUUAACUGUUAUUGAAAUGUAACAGUGUGCAGGCCAAUUAAUUUCACCUCAACCAACUAUGAUGGAUGUUGAUUUGCUAUUCAAAGGCAAGCCUAUUUUUGGCACGCUUAUUGUGCUACUUCACAAUGGAAAGCCGGUUAUGGGCAUUAUUGAUCAACCAAAUCUUGAGAGAGAGAUGGGUUGGGGUGGACGGGAAGAAAACUACCUUAAAUGUACAAGAAGUAUUUGUGUGAUUGUUCAGGACUACAUACAAAGCAAUGCAAGACACAAUAUAAUUUAGCAUUUUCAAGGAUACCACAUGGAGCAGCAAAAUGGAGGAGACGAGCUACCAUAUGGUGGGCAGUGUGCUAAGGAGGGCGAGCCAUUCUGGGAAAGUCCUUGUGGCCGUGAAAGACCAGGAUGGCAUAUUGAUUGCAGUGCAAUGAGCGGGCAUUAUUUAGGCAAGCAUUUAAUAUUUAUGACGGAGGAAAAUAUUUGAUCUUACCACAUCAUGGGAAUGAGCUUGCGCAAAGGCGAGCAGUGAAUCCUGAGAGUGAGGUCAAACGCGGGAUGCAUAAUGGCUUUGUCAACAACAAUGGCCAGAAGAAGGCAAAAAUAGACAAAAGCUUCUCACUAUCAAAGAUGUAAGGAAGAUUAUUGUUCUGUGCCAUCCCAUGGCUCUAAGGCUAUUCCUGAUGCGAACACACUACAGACUGUACAAGACUCUGAAGAAGUAUAUCGUUGUGCUGUGAUGACAAGUUGGAUGUCCCAGUACCAGCAGACGAUCGAAAGGUGGUCGACGACAACCACGAGAGUUUCCCGAGACGCAUUUCUAACGAUCUUCAUAUUACAGGUGCCCUUGAUGAGCUUAUGAAGGCAGUGAGAGGCGAGCUAUGAACAACAACUUGAGUGAUUUGAUGCAACUUGAGUGAUUUGAAGAAAUUGCAGCAGAAACUAGAGCAGCAGCCAGCAGAAAAGGAAAUGGCCAGAGAAGAAGUAACAACAGCAGAAAAAGAAACAGUCCAAGGGUACGGCCCGACGACGAGGGCGCCAUCCCUCCUCCAUGUUGGAUCUGGAUGACCAGGAUGCCAUAAAGUUGGGCGUGUGGGCUUGAUGUUCAGGUGACGGCGCAAUAGUUUGACGGGCGGCAGCGGAGGGUAGGGCGAUGCCGUACCAGGGAGAGGACGUGGCGAGAGGAGGAUAGUUUCAGGGAGAGAUGGCGACGAUGAUGUGAUGGUAGGGGAUGGGAUGCGAUGAAUGCCCGAGGGCCGGCCAACUAUGCGGGGAGAGAAGGAGCCGGCUAGGUGUGCGAGAAGAGAGUAAGGGGAUGGGCUGUCUUUUCUUAUUUUCCGUGAAGAAAAAUAAAGGAUAUACCAGCAACUUAUGUUUGUUUGUGCGUUGAGAUAAAUAUCACAUAGCCUAACAAGUCAUUUUUAGAGAAUAUACCUAUAAGUUAUCUAUAGGUGAGCCUACAAUUUAUAACUUAAAGCCACGACACUUAUUUUGGGACGGAGGGAGUAGAAAUUAGGAUGCGACUCACUUCUAUGAAGAAGAACACGAUGCCAUAAUCAAUAUAUACUGUAUACAAGCAUAUUUCAAUUUUAUUUAUUCUGAUACAAUAUAUGUUUAAUUACAUGGUUCAGUUUUGUUGAUCAAGAUAAAAACCUAUGGAUUCGAACGAUGCUUUGAAAUUAUCACUAUAUUCAAGAUGAUAAUAAUUUAUUGAAUUGUGUGGAUUUGUCUGGCUAUUUUUUUAUGCUCUCGUGGAAUUGUAAAUAUUUGGUUUGUUCGGUUUGCACAGUGAGUAUUUCUCGUUGCAUAUUCUACGCAUUCCAUGUAAAAUAUUUGUGCUAAAUACAUAUAUUGCUUAUGCACGAUGGUAUGAUUGGAGAGUUUUUUUAUUAUUAUAUGUCAAGUAUUACGCGAACGAAGUUAAGGACAACAUUCCUGAUAUUGUACGAGAAUAUCGUGAGCACAUCGAGUAGAUUUAGUUUGCAACAAAUUAAUAGUUGGAUAAUCGCUAUCUAUGUAUACAUGGUCAAAAUACAUAUUUUUUAUCAACUUAUGUUGGUGGUGAAUUAGAUAUCAUUUAUUUUCUAAUUGUUCCCACUGGCUUUUCUAUUCAUGUGAAAUUUAGCAUGCAUUUGGUUUAUAUAUAAUACUAGCAAUUUUUUUAAAAUGACCGUGGCAACGCACGGGCAGCCUACUAGUAUUAUCUGUUUUGGAUGUUUUAUAUGCAUUGAUAUGCUAUUUUAUAUUAUUUUUGGGACUAACCUAUUAAC